rnacentral:rRNA from 1 species
CGGAAAGGCCCUUCGGGGUACUCGAGCGGCGAACGGGUGAGUAACACGUGAGCAACCUGCCCCAGGCUUUGGGAUAACCCCGGGAAACCGGGGCUAAUACCGAAUAGGACCUGGCCUCGCAUGAGGCUGGGUGGAAAGUUUUUCGGCUUGGGAUGGGCUCGCGGCCUAUCAGCUUGUUGGUGGGGUGAUGGCCUACCAAGGCGACGACGGGUAGCCGGCCUGAGAGGGCGACCGGCCACACUGGGACUGAGACACGGCCCAGACUCCUACGGGAGGCAGCAGUGGGGAAUAUUGCACAAUGGGCGGAAGCCUGAUGCAGCGACGCCGCGUGAGGGAUGACGGCCUUCGGGUUGUAAACCUCUUUCAGCAGGGACGAAGCGUAAGUGACGGUACCUGCAGAAGAAGCGCCGGCCAACUACGUGCCAGCAGCCGCGGUAAGACGUAGGGCGCGAGCGUUGUCCGGAUUUAUUGGGCGUAAAGAGCUCGUAGGCGGCUUGUCGCGUCGACUGUGAAAACCCGCAGCUCAACUGCGGGCCUGCAGUCNAUACGGGCAGGCUAGAGUUCGGUAGGGGAGACUGGAAUUCCUGGUGUAGCGGUGAAAUGCGCAGAUAUCAGGAGGAACACCGGUGGCGAAGGCGGGUCUCUGGGCCGAUACUGACGCUGAGGAGCGAAAGCGUGGGGAGCGAACAGGAUUAGAUACCCUGGUAGUCCACGCUGUAAACGUUGGGCGCUAGGUGUGGGGGGCCUCUCCGGUUCCCUGUGCCGCAGCUAACGCAUUAAGCGCCCCGCCUGGGGAGUACGGCCGCAAGGCUAAAACUCAAAGGA